GCUCAGGAUGAACGCUGGCGGCGUGCUUAACACAUGCAAGUCGAACGAUGAAGCCCAGCUUGCUGGGUGGAUUAGUGGCGAACGGGUGAGUAACACGUGAGUAACCUGCCCUUAACUCUGGGAUAAGCCUGGGAAACUGGGUCUAAUACCGGAUAGGAGCGCCUACCGCAUGGUGGGUGUUGGAAAGAUUUAUCGGUUUUGGAUGGACUCGCGGCCUAUCAGCUUGUUGGUGAGGUAAUGGCUCACCAAGGCGACGACGGGUAGCCGGCCUGAGAGGGUGACCGGCCACACUGGGACUGAGACACGGCCCAGACUCCUACGGGAGGCAGCAGUGGGGAAUAUUGCACAAUGGGCGCAAGCCUGAUGCAGCGACGCCGCGUGAGGGAUGACGGCCUUCGGGUUGUAAACCUCUUUCAGUAGGGAAGAAGCGAAAGUGACGGUACCUGCAGAAGAAGCACCGGCUAACUACGUGCCAGCAGCCGCGGUAAUACGUAGGGUGCGAGCGUUAUCCGGAAUUAUUGGGCGUAAAGAGCUCGUAGGCGGUUUGUCGCGUCUGUCGUGAAAGUCCGGGGCUUAACCCCGGAUCUGCGGUGGGUACGGGCAGACUAGAGUGCAGUAGGGGAGACUGGAAUUCCUGGUGUAGCGGUGGAAUGCGCAGAUAUCAGGAGGAACACCGAUGGCGAAGGCAGGUCUCUGGGCUGUAACUGACGCUGAGGAGCGAAAGCAUGGGGAGCGAACAGGAUUAGAUACCCUGGUAGUCCAUGCCGUAAACGUUGGGCACUAGGUGUGGGGACCAUUCCACGGUUUCCGCGCCGCAGCUAACGCAUUAAGU
rnacentral:rRNA from 1 species